CUCAACUGAAGUUCCUCUGCUGAGCUUUACAGAGGCAACUUGCAGUAUUACUCAAGGCGACGUACACCGAGAAGGUAAAAACAGGGACGCCUUUUGCUUGAGCUGCUGGCUCACUAGAUAGUCUUAGGUUAUCCUCUAUUAGAGAAAACCGACCACCUUAUUAUCACCACCAUCUAGUGAUGCAGAGGCUCUGUGCUUUCCAGUAUCCAGAGUACAUCAUGGGCAACCAUGACAAUCACAGUACACAGCCCCCUCUCCCAUCUGCAAAGUCCAGACGCUUCAGAUACCACAACAGGAUCCCGCAUAAUCGAUGAUCUACCACUGGCAUAUUGGUUAUCAUAAGUGGAGCUCAUCGGUCUUCUUUAACAAAUUAACCAGUAGAGAGGAGCAAACAGACACACCUGUACAGCUGGAGUUGGGCACUGCUAUCUAUCUUUGAUGAACAAAAAGAUUAAACAUAAAUCUUUCUGAACACCCUCAGAGAAAGCUAUUUUUAAUACUGUUUCCUGAUUUUUAAGCACAUGUUGAACUCCCACCUUGCCUGUAACUAUAACAUCUGCCUCUAAGUUUUAACACACUGGCUUACGGUCAUCUAAUUCCAGUUUUGUCCCCUUGAAGUAGUAGAAACUUAGAGGUCUCCCACAGCGAAGGAGGGAAAGAGCCAAGAACAGGAAAUAAAUCUCCGGCUUCUGGUUCACACUUGAGGUUAUGCCCUUCCUCCAGUGACCAGAGGAAAGUAUUUGCGUGUGAUAAUCCUAAUUUUCGAAGGAUUGUUAUCAUCCAGCUGUGUUUCCAAAAGAUUCGGGAAAGCCACGGUGGCCCCAGACAACAAGAACAGACCCGUCUGAUCCUGGGAAAGCUGGGAGAACCAGCCAAUGAAUGGAUUGUACAUUUACACAUCCAAAUGGGCAGCAAAGCAAAGGAUCUUGAAACCAUCCUGCAUUACCAGCUAGGAAUACAUCAGCAAAAGAACUGUGCAAAUCAAGAGCUGCUUUGGGGAAUUUUGUUCUACUGAUGUUGUAUUAAGGAAAAGCUGGUGUUUUUCAGUCCAGGUGUGAGUAUUCUAUUUCAGACACAGCUUCCUCAGAGCAAGUCCUGUCUCUCCCCCUUGGUCCAUUCCUUGGCUUUUUUCCCCCAGGCUAGCCUAAACACGGCUGCUAAAACCCCCCAAAAUUAGACACUAAAAGAGCCCCACUGUGAUGAAUCCGUAAACACUGUCCACUCCAGCAAAGGGGGAAUUGAUCCCUUUAAUUCUUCAAUGAUGACAAGCACGACUUGUCAAUCAUCCUUUCAAACUCAGUCCUGAAGCACAGAAGCUUCAAAAGUUGGACUGUGCAAAUCAGGGAAUUGGGUUUGGGAAACAGCCAGGGGCACCACAGAGCAGGAAAGUUACUCCUGCACGAGGCCAGUGGUGAAUACUGAUGUUAUCAGACAAUGUGCAUCUAACCUGGGAUCUGGCUAAAACGUCCCUUAGGACAAGGACCACUUAGAAGGGACACGUUAGAAUAUUUUUACGCAUUUGGGAUAUUAAUAAUCCAAUCAGGCCUGCAAUGAUCACAUUUGAUUAACCAGUUUCGAUAAUGAAAUGUUUUUUCUCUGCAGGACACAAGCAGUUUUCUCUAAAUGUGCUUAUUGACUUCAGAUGGUAUUUCUAACUUAGCAUGUCCUAAAUCACGGUGCCUAGCCCAGGGACUGACACAUUGCAGAUGCUCGAUAAACAUGCGUUGACCAGACUUCCUGGUCACCAGGGGCUUUUACUUUGCCACCAAUGCUUUCUAAUUCAAAGGUUACGUGAGCUUGAUACACUAUGGCUUGUGAAAAGGAACUAAAGAUAUGUCAGCCGCUCGCCCCAAGUCUGGCCUUUGUCCCAUACCUCAGAGCAAAAGCUCCAUUGCCCAGCAUUCUUGUCCACUCAGCUUCAAUUGUGUCUCAGUUUCCCGACUAACAAGACAAAAUCAGCUGAGCCUGGGCUUCCAUCCCCUUGGGCAAGUUGUUUCAAAACUACAUCUGAUUUUUUUUUUUUUUUUAAGGAUAACAAAGAUAAAAACCCAUGCGCCUACCACCAGCUCAAGAAAUACCAUAUAGCAAAUACCUUUGAAGCUGGUUAUUUCUCCUUCCCAAAGGCAAAUGCUACCUUGAAUUUGAUGUUUAUAAUUCCCUUGUCUUAAAAAAAAAAAAAAAAAAAAAAAAAAA